AGGCCAUGGAAACAGAACGUUGACCGAAGCUAUAAAAGCUGCAGCUCUCACUUAUUUCUCAUUCGCACAUUAAACUUUGACAAGUUGACCUACUGCGGAUUUACUGUUGGAAAGUUGUAAUCUGGGAAACCCGAUCAACUGGAAAACUUCUACUCAACAAAACAUUUUGGAUUAUACCUGUUCACCUGGAAGGCUUCAUCUCAGACAAAUCUUUUUUGGAUUAAAUCUGAUCACUUGAAGACUUCAUCUCUUACAAACCUUUUCUGGAUUUAACCUGAACACCUGACAGCUACUGCCAGAAGUAGACCGUCUCUAACUGCUGGAGAAGUGGCCUCCGGUUGACCCCCUGGGGGGAAACGGCUUCUGUCCUGAGUCUCUGCAGUAUUCUGAGAGACAGCAUGGGAUCCAGUGUAUCCAAGGCUUCCACCUCAUCUUCCGAGAUGAACCCCGUCCAGCUCCCCAGCAGAUACGAGGUCCUGGAAGUUCUGGGAGAGGGCUACUUCGGAAAGGUUUUGAAAUGUCGGAAAAAGGACAACAAGCAGACAGUGGCUGUGAAGAUUCCUAAAUGCUUCGAGAAUGACACCGUCAAUGAGGUUUCCAUGCUGAGACGGUUCAAGCGCCUGAAACUCCACCAACACAACAUCGUUGAGUUCAUCGAUUGCUUUCAAACCAGAUAUGGAAAGGCAAUCGUGUUGGAGGUGUUGGAUAUCACCCUAGGCGACUACCUUGGAAAGACAAGUUUUGCGCCGAUGCUUCUGAGUGACAUCAGAAGCAUCAUCCAGCAGAUGGGGACAGCAUUUGAGGCGCUGAAGGGGAUCGGGGUGAUCCAUGCUGACCUGCACCUCCACAACAUUAUGAUGGAGAAUCACCAAACACGACCCUUCAGAGUCAAGCUCAUUGACUUCGGUGUUGCCAUGUCCAGAUCAGAAGCCAGCCAGGGCAAGCGCCUGCAACCACUGGCAUUCAGGUCUCCAGAAAUCAUGUUGGGCUGUCCAUUUUCUGAGGCCAUUGACAUGUGGUCCCUGGGCUGUCUGAUGUUCAUAAUGAUCUGCGGCAAACUACCGUUCAGUGGACGCUCCGAGUAUGAAAUUCUGCGGAGCAUCGCUGGUCUCAUAGGUCAGCCAGAAGACCUUGUUCUCAGUACUGGUCUACAGACAAAGAAGUACUUUAACUGGACUGAGUCAAACAGCUGGGAGCUCAAGACAUCUUUUGAGUAUUUCAAAUGUCACCUCAGCAGUGUCAAGCACCACAAGCUCCAGUCUCUGGACGAUCUCAAAAUAAUGCGUCUUGAGGAAAAUAAUGAAGCUGAGGCCGCAGAGCGAGAGCAGUGCAUCGAGCUCCUGAAGGCCAUGCUGAAGACGGGUGAGGAUGAGAGGAUCGCUCCCUGUCAAGUCCUCACUCAUGCAUUUAUCACCAAAGACUACCCAAACAAUGUGGCAGAGAAGUCUGAUACCAGCCAGCGUAAGAUGAUGAGACCAAAGGCGGCAGUCAUGAGUAAAAGACGCCCCGCUUGUCUUACGACAGCGCCCCCUUCCAGUCUUGCUUGUUACAGUCCACCAGCAGGUGUGAUCCUGGUUCGUCCUGCGACGGCUGAUAACACACUGCUGCUGGACGGUCAGGGGAGCAAAGUCAGUGGCAGGUCUUACAUUGACAAGACCUCGGGAUGUUCAGCUUUCACUUCUCCGUUCUCGAGUGAGGACUGCACUCCAUCUCCCACGUUUCUACCAUCAGGUGUGAUUCUGGUUCGGCCUGCGACAGCCCAGCGCACGGUGCUGGGAGAUCAGGAGAGUGCAGUCAGUUUUCAGUCUGGCCUGUACGAGGCAUCAGUGUCCUUAGUGACUGAUGUUGAAAGUGGCAUGGAGACACCAAUAUGUGAAGCCUCGGGCUCAUGUGAAAACAUUGGGGCAAAGAAGGAGCCAGGGAAGAAGAGGAAUGUCCUCCGACGUGUCUUCUCCUGGUUGAGAAAGACGUUCAUGCCAUGUGUUCCAUCUGUUGAUGGUCCGGCCUGCGACAGCUGAGAACAUGCUGUCGCUGGAAGGCGGGAGGGGGGGCAAAGUCAGUGGCAGGACUUACUUUAACAAGACCUCAGGAAGUUCAGGCUUCACUUCAUCGAAUAAGGACUGUGACUAUGAGCCUGAUCCUGGGUCAGCCUCCGGCUGCUGAGAGCAUGCUGCUGUUGGAAGGUCCUGAGACAGAGAUGGAAGUCACUGUCAGCGGAGGAGCAGCCAUAUAUUACCAACAGGCCGACAGAGAGAGAGAGCUCCACGCCCAGAGACACCCCGACUGCUCUGUCAGCCAAAACUACACACUCAGCGUCAGUGGUGUCCUCCACUUCACGGGCAGCUGUGAUGGAGGCCUCGACCUCACAGAGAGCUGUGGAGGAACCACGUCCCCGCAGACGGUCCCGGUCCUGUCACAGCUCACAUCAGCGGACAGCUGUGGUGCUGCUGCCACACACACAAGCUCCAGUGACCGUGCACGACUCACACCGAGUCCAGCCAAUCAGAGGAUGUGGAGCAUCACCCAGUGAUGGAGCAGCUUGAUCCUCCACCAAGUCCACCCAGUGCAGAGCAUCAGCUGCC